CGCGUAGGCGGACAUUUAAGUCGGGGGUGAAAGCCCGGGGCUCAACCCCGGAAUUGCCUCCGGAUACUGGGUGUCUCGAGACCGGAAGAGGUGAGUGGAACUGCGAGUGUAGAGGCGAAAUUCGUAGAUAUUCGCAAGAACACCAGUGGCGAAGGCGGCUCACUGGUCCGGAUCUGACGCUGAGGCGCGAAAGCGUGGGGAGCAAACAG
rnacentral:rRNA from 1 species